AUUGAACGCUGGCGGAAUGCUUUACACAUGCAAGUCGAACGGUAGAGGGGGCAACCCCUUGAGAGUGGCGAACGGGUGAGUAAUAUAUCGGAACGUGCCCAGUCGUGGGGAUAACGUAGCGAAAGUUACGCUAAUACCGCAUACGAUCUAAGGAUGAAAGCGGGGGAUCGCAAGACCUCGCGCGAUUGGAGCGGCCGAUAUCAGAUUAGGUAGUUGGUGAGGUAAAGGCUCACCAAGCCAACGAUCUGUAGCUGGUCUGAGAGGACGACCAGCCACACUGGAACUGAGACACGGUCCAGACUCCUACGGGAGGCAGCAGUGGGGAAUUUUGGACAAUGGACGCAAGUCUGAUCCAGCCAUUCCGCGUGCAGGAUGAAGGCCCUCGGGUUGUAAACUGCUUUUGUACGGAACGAAAGGUUUGUCUUAAUACGAUGAGCUCAUGACGGUACCGUAAGAAUAAGCACCGGCUAACUACGUGCCAGCAGCCGCGGU
rnacentral:rRNA from 1 species